rnacentral:tRNA from 1 species
GACGGUGUAGCUCAAGGGGUAGAGCACAUGCUUAGCAUGCAUGAAGUCUGGGUUCAAUCCCUGGCACCUCCU